rnacentral:rRNA from 1 species
AGACAAUAGAUACCCGGGUAGUCCACGCCGUAAACUAUGGAUGCUAGCUGUUAGAGGUAUCGACCCCUCUAGUAGCGAAAGCUAACGCGUUAAGCAUCCCGCCUGUGGAGUACGGUCGCAAAACUAAAACAUAAAGGAAUUGACGGGGACCCGCACAAGCGGUGGAGCGUGUUGUUUAAAUUCGAUGGUAAGCGAAGAACCUUACCCAGGCUUGACAUCCUUGGAAUUUUGGCGAAAGCCGAGAGUGCCUUCGGGAACCAAGUGACAGGUGUUGCAUGGCCGUCGUCAGCUCGUGUCGUGAGAUGUUUGGUUAAGUCCAUCAACGAGCGCAACCCUUAUAGUUAGUUGAAUUUUUCUAGCUAGACUGCCCUGGCAACAGGGAGGAAGGAGGGGAUGAUGUCAGGUCAGUAUUACCCUUACGUCUGGGGCUACAAACACGCUACAAUGGCCGGUACAAAGGGCAGCCAAGUCGCGAGACGGAGCAAAUCCCAUCAAAGCCGGUCUAAGUUCGGAUAGCAGGCUGAAACUCGCCUGCUUGAAGCUGGAAUC